rnacentral:misc_RNA from 1 species
GCAAACUUGGUCAUUUAGAGGAAGUAAAAGUCGUAACAAGGUCUCCGUUGGUGAACCAGCGGAGGGAUCAUUACAGAGUUGCAAAACUCCCAAACCCACUGUGAACUUACCUGUCCUUGUUCCUUCGGCAGGCGGCCCCCGGGGGGGCUUCGCCGCAAGGCGCCUGCCGAGGGACAACUAAAACUCUUGCUACCUAAGUGUCUUCUGAGCAACUAUAAAAAAUCACAACUUUCAACAACGGAUCUCUUGGUUCUGGCAUCGAUGAAGAACGCAGC